rnacentral:sRNA from 1 species
ACCACCACCAAUCACCAUCAUCAAUCAUUAUGUUUAUGCAUGAAGGAAAGAAUGGUGAGGGGGCUGCAUGCCUCAAUGUGAAUGUGGAAGUCAGAAGACUUUGUGAGGUAGGUUCUCUCCUUCCACCUUUAUGUGGGGUCUGAAGAUUGAUCUCAGGAUGCCAGACUUUGAGGUAAAUACCUUUACCCACUGAGCCAUCUUACCAUCCCUACUCUUGUUUUUGAAAUAACCCUGUUAUAUCUCCUCCAUGAGCCUAAAAAAUUUGUCCAAUGCCAUAUUUCAAAAAUGGAAGAGCUAGGAUCCAUUUGUUGCUAUUCCUGUGCAGCAUACCUUUGGUCUUUUCUACACUUUCCUUGUGAUGGUGUGUCAGGAGGGUGAUCGCAAUGGAUGGGCUUCUUAAAGACAUUUUCACACAGGUAGGGAGCUCACUAGUUCAAGAAGAAUUCUUCCAUCCAUUGUAUCAAUUUGCAUAAUCCUUCUAACCCCACAUACCCCAAAGCCAGACUCUGAAACUAAGCCAAGAAGCUGAAGGACACUGGAAGGUAGCACUAAUGGUUGCUUCUCACUGAGACCUUUCAUGCCCUUUAGGACCAAGUCCCCGCCCACCUCUCAUCCUGACCUCUUACCGCCCACACCACCAUUUGCUUAUUCUUCCAAGUAGCUUUGGUAUGGACUCUUACUUUUGUAUAAAAUAAACCAAUGAUAUUUUCUUUGCCUCCUUUAUAUCUAUUCAGCUCAGAAUGCACACAUUAUUCCUCAGUGACCCCUGACCUUCAACUGGGUUCAGCAUCUCUCCUCUGUGAAUACAUUGUCCUGUUUCUAGUUACAGCUUAGCAUGCUUCUCCUAGUUAUAGUAUGACCUCUUAAAAGAAGAUAGAGUUGUGUUUGUUUUGUGUCUCUAGGCACAGCUAGUAAUUGGUACAUAGUGCUGAUGAAUGAACAAACGAAUGAAUGAAUGAAUGAGUGAGUGAAUGAGUGAAUGUGUGCUUUGAGGCCAGAGAGAUCUUUGAGGGCACCCUCUCCCACUCUCAACCUGGAGCACUUUACCCCAUCUCAAAGUGAUGGUGCCUCUAUCUGAUGAUUGGGAAUAGUAACACAGACACUUUAUAGGAAUUAACAUAGACUUCAAGCUAUCAGUGAAGAAACCAGCCUACAUAACUUUCAUAGUAGUAAGACCACUAGAGAGUGAUAUUCUUAGAUUCUACACUGCUCUCUUGGCUCCCUGAGAAGUUUUCUUACUUUAUAAAACAUUUUAUUUCUCACUGCCAAGACUCAAGAGCAUCUAUCAGUUAAGCAUUUGAUUCUAGGACUCAGUAUAGAGAGAAUGCAAGUCUCCCGUUGAGUGUGACAUACUCUGCCCUCUCCUCUCCCACUAGGGCUGAGAAGAUAGAUGAUACAGGCUGACUCCCUCAGACAUCACAAACCACCAGUCACCACUGUAGAACUUUCUAAUGUUGUCUCCUGAGUGGCCAUCCUUGCUUUUCUCGGCCAGCUCCCGUGGGCUGCAGCUCAGGUGUGAUGUCUGUUGAGACCCUACCUCUACAGUUAGAAAGGAUGUUACACGGCUGCAAGUAAAACACUAAUCAAUUUCCCCUAAUGGCUUUUCCCAAACCUCUACCCUGACAGCUACUCUUAGAUCAGGCUGUCUAGUGACUUUAAGACUCUCUAAAUAUGUAAAUAAGUUUUGUUACACCAUUAAGCUUGUAAGAAAUAAGACAUUAAUUAGCAUUAGCAUAUUGAAUCACUUAGGUGUCAGUAGCUAAUAUGGCUAAUUGACAUUUAAUAAGUCUUGCUAUCUAAUUUGCUAUGAAUUACAUUAAAUGUUAAUUAAUUACUUAGUUAUUCUUUACACAAUUAUUAUAUGUUAAUGUGCAUUUAAUAGCUUAUUAUUUGGGUAAUUGUCCUAACGGUAAACAAGUUACCUGUAAAUGUGCUAGUUUGAACAUAUCUAGACCACUCAUGAGAGAAUUCUUUUAAACCUAAUUGAUAGGUCAGUUAAUAUAAUUUCAAAUUAUUGAAAAAAUAACCAUGGAUUUGGAGGACACAAUUCCCUAGUUAAAUUGGUCAGCUUUUACUUUAUUUGUUAGCAGCAUCUGUAACAGGUAAUACUCUUGUUACCCAUUCCAUUAAACUGUUGACAAUAGCUCUAUGAAUGAGCACACCUUGGAGAGGGUUAUUAUUGGCCCAUGUGUAAAUCUCAGAUGUUUUGUUAAUAGAGUCAUGUGGCUGGUUCAAGAGCAGGUGUGAUUUGGACUGCGUUAGUGGAAGCACAGUGUCUAAAACAAAAGCAAUGGGAACCUUGCCCUGCCUUGCUCUGGUACAGCCAUACAAUAUUUUCUCAACUCUUAAGAAUGACAUAUUUAAAGAGAUAUAAGUUAUGUCAUGGGAAGAACUGGAGAAGAAUUCCAAGAUGUUUUGCCAAGGAAAACUAGUACAGAACAAUCUUUCUUAACAUGUAUGAUAGUUUGCAGAAAGUAAAUCGUUUUUCCUUCUUAACUCAUUGAUUCAAGUGAGAGCACUGGGUCAUGUGGCAGGAGUUAAAAGCAACAAAUUUCACAGCCAGUUGGAGCUAAGGAUGGGAGAAAGUGUUUCUGGAGUAAUGAAAACCCCGUCACUGGAGGAGUUCAAGCAUUAGCUAAGGGAUUUUUAGCACUGGCCUGUGCAGAAGGGACUUGAACUUGGGAAGCCCUUCCAGGUGCAUAUAAAUGCGGUUCUAUCUUGAGACCCGGCCUGGUAGUGGGCACUAUCUCGCCAUCUGACUCCCCUGGGUCUGAAUUGCAAAUUCCCUUCAGGUGUCCUCCACCAGCCCACGCUCCGAGUGGGGCUCAGAAGGGACCAGCUGAGCCACGGCAGUCAAUUAUCUUUGACAGGACAGGACAGGAGAAAGGGCAGGCGCCUGGCAGGCAAAUAAACUUAAUGAAGUUUGUAAUAGACUGCGGAAAUAUCAGCCUCGUGAUCAAAGCAGGAAUAAGCCACAAGAAACUAUUAAUUAAGACUCUCCCACUAUCUCCUGUUCGCAUUUCCUCCUUCACUGUGGCAGGAACAUUCUAAUUGUUCCAGGGCUUUCAAGAUGCAAAGGCAGCUUUUCUUUCCUGGAUUUCAAAAUGUCCUUGGGGUUCAAGUGUCUGUUGCCAUUACUGUCAGAGCCUUUGGGUCUCCACAUUCCAGCUUUGCCCUCUGUAAGCAGGGGAGGUACCCUGUGCUGAAUGCCUGCUCCCUCCUGUCUCCUCACAGUCUCCUUGUCCGCCCAGAAUGCCCUUGUUCUUCCGGUGCCUCAUCCCUUUUUGACCAUGCUGUUGCCCAUUAACCCUUCCCACCCAACUGUUGUUUUGGCCGUAAAACUCUUUCUACUCUUGUAUGUAUGUACUGGCCAAAGGAAACAGUCAAAACAUUUAAUAGCCAGUAUUAUAGCCCCACACGUGAGUCCAUUUAUGAACAACGAUAAAAUCCAUUUCCUCUAAUUUCGGAACUAAAGCUGCUUAUUCUGCAAAUCAUGCACCAAACCAGUCCAACAUCAUCCUAGUCACUGGUUGAUUUUUCAGAAUCCUUGGUGUGAUCUCCCAUCUGAUACAGGUGUCACUGAAUAAAGGUUUUGCCACAGGAACCAGAAUCAACCCCUUCCAGUCACUGCCGUUCCGUUCCUAGACAGAGAGCCUCAGACUUAGGAACUGUGUGCACAAGUUGCAGCACAGAGUGCAUUCUGGUGCUCCCCGCCCUCCCUGAAGACGAGCACCAGCAGAUCCCUCUAACGCUAUGCCUGCCCUGCACCUCAUUCAACGUACCCUCAAGGCCAGACCACUUUGAAGAACGGGGUGGUUGACAGCUGCUGGGAGCCUUCCACCUGCUCCUCACUCUUCCCAGAUCCAAUUCCUGACCAAUGUAGUCACCUCUUGGUGCCACUAAGUGACUUACGAUCUAUUCCCCAGCUAGUGUGAGCAAGGCUUAAUAUCCCAACCACUGGAUCGCUAUAGCCGCACACUCAUCUGUCCUGUCUCUCCACGUGCCCUGUCACCUCCCCAAGAGCAGGUGUUCUAGAUGACAUCUGCCUUUUUCAAAGGGAAAAACAAGUUGGCAAAAGGUCCCCGGGGACAGCAACGAAUGCCAAUUUUUCCUCCCCUAACACAUGCCCAGGCUAAAAGAGUCUGGACUCCAUUCUCUUGCCUGUCCAGCCAUGAAUAUCUUCUGAUUCAGCCAUGUGGUAUCACAUGAGAGAAUCCCAUAAUCCUUUCCUGAAAAUGCCAGAGGAGAUCAGGGGGCACCCAUAGCCACAGCAGCCACAGCUCCUGUGGGAGAUUUAUGGAGACAGAUGGCUAUGGGGAGCAAGAGGUAUCAGAAUCAGGAGCAGAAGGGAUGACUUAUGAUCGCUGUCAACAUAAGCAGACCCUUGCCAUUGGAAAUGGCUUUCUUGUUGACUGUGUUGGUUGAAGCCUCAACAAAUGUAAAAAGAUGAACUGGGAGCUCCAGCCAGGGCUGAGAUCUUCCGAGGUGAAAAUCAUUAGCAAGAACAAUUUCUCUCCCUGCAUAGUGUUUAUCGUCCAUGGCCUUGGCUGGGGCUGGUGGAUCUCAGUUCCAGAGAGAACCAGUAGGCAGAAUCAGGUCAGGCUAUGAAUGACAGUGGGCAAAUCCAAGGCUAUUAUCACCUGCCCCCUUGCCCCACUGCCUUCCUAAGUUGGCCUGUUCAAUUAGCUUAAUGACAUGGUGGAAGAUGGUAUUUCCAAACAGUAGAAACAGCUGGGCUGCAAUCUCUCUGCUUGCUAGCUUGAAGCAUGUCAGGCUGCCUCUGUGGUGGUACAAGGGCCCUGUCAGCAUGACACACAUUUCGGGGAAAUGCUAUAAUUCACAACUGACACCUCGAUCAAUGCUCCCAAUUUCUAAGCUGUCUUCCCUGGGAAAUAGAGAAAGAAUCAGCUUCAAACGACCCAGCAGACUGUGGCUAGGAUGGAUCCCCUCCACUGUCCUCCUGCCAGCUUCUACUGGUCUCUCUGGGCCACUGUUCCAUCCCAUUGAGCAUGGUGGAUGAGUACAGCCUCUGAGGUCAGAUGUGACCUGAAUCCUCCACCAUUGAAGCUGCAUAGGACCUCAGACUCAUUGAUUGCUUAUUCACACUGACUCUCUAAAAUUGGGAACCAGUCAAGUCUUGCUGCUGAAAAGAACUUUAAGAGACAAUCCCUAGAGAGAAUUCGGGGUCUUGCCCUACAUAUUGGAAGCCUUCCAUAAACUUAGCAGACAGGCUUGGUCGACUCUUCUUGCCUUCUCUCAUUCCUGACUUGGUUCUCUUUGGGGCUGCACCUGUCGCCACAGAACACUCCCCUUCAGCCUAGCAUCCAGCUGUGUCCGAUUCCAGUCGCCUGGGUUUGCUUCUGCAUUUCCUUGGGACUCCCUGGGCCUCUUUGCCAGGUUUUAUGUCUCCCUGACUCUUUCCUUCCCUAUUUCAUAUUUCCCAAUAGCCUUACUCCAUUCUUUAUGCCACAGAACACUAUGGAACCAAAAAGCUUUUAAACCCUGUGCAAAGAAUAAACUCCUCCGAAUGGCGAUUGCCCACAACCUUGGUGAAGCUCAAGCUGUGAAAUCCAGAUUUUACUACUGUAAUUAUCCUGCCUGAAGCUAUGCCAGCUUGGCUGGGCUGGCAAAACAACGGGCCAGUCAGGAUCCAAUCACCCCUUUCCCAUGGACCAUAGAGAAGCUGCCUAGCUUUCAGCUGGGUGCUAAAAAUAGGCCUGGGGGGGGGGGGUAGAGCAGCUAAAAAUACUCUUUGGCCAAAGGGCCUUCCUGUGCCCCACAGGCUGGAGGCAGAAGGGCUUUAGGAACCCUGGGGUUUACAGCUGUGUGGUCCUUCAUGGGCAACAUAGAAUGGAGAAAACACACAGACAGGCACGAGGGGCAGCUGUAACCAGUAAUUUAGGUAACACUUACCAGAAGAGCUGGUCCCAGAAGGUGAGGCUGCAGAGCACACACAGGCAGUGAGCUGUCCACAGCCACCCCCAUGGAUAGACAAAGAAGGAAGAAAAGUUGGCUACAGGAAGCCUUCUUAAACUUUACUACUCUACUCUGGCCUCCACUGUUCUCUGCGAAAACACAACUUCCUUCACACUUUGCCCAUUAAUUCUUGGAUUCACUUUGCCCCCUGGGAGAAAGAUGUUUUACCACAGUCAACCCUGUGUCCAUCUGGAGCGCUGUCUACUGUAAAAGUCCUGUCUGCCAGCCCUCUGAAGACUUGAAAGUCUGGGGACACCGAUAGGAAGCAUCUUCACCCAGCUGCUGGAGGAUCUCAGGCUGAAGGAAUGAGGAAGAUGAAGAAGUGAGGAUUGGGACAAAAUGAUGUCUGGACAAACAAGGAAAUCCUUGCAAAACAUGAGCUGAUUUGCUUGACCCUGAACUCUCAGUGUCCGUGUAUCUCCUCACACCCUGGGCCUUGCAAACUUCUGCCUCUCGCUCAUUUGUGGGAUUAUGAGAAAGGGAAGGGAUUGGUUUGGGACAAGGAAGCUGAUGAAACCCACAAAAGUUCCUACAAGCUAGGCCUGAGCCUAAGAGAAGCACAAAGAGAAGGAUACAGAACACCCGUGAGAUGCUCUUGGCAAUGGGGCUUGGAAACUGGUCUGACCAGAGAGAAGUUGAGCCUGGAAUGUGGGAUAGUUUGCAUGUACAGGUGAUUGGGGGCGGGGGAAGCGUCAUUGAAUAUUGAACAUUCUAGAAUGGAGGAACUUGCUGGGAAUGGAAAACUAAGUCCCAGAACACAGAAGGAGGAGACUGAGUUCGUUGGACCUGGGAAGGGAGUAGAACUCAGUGUGAAGAAGAGCUGGACAUCAAACACACCGGGAGUCCCAGCUCAUCCACCGCACAACUGCUUGUCUGAAGUGAUGAGCCAGGGACAUCUGCUUCCCAAAAAAGAUUGCCUCCCCAGUGACUGUGAGGAAGGCAUCCACAGAGGGGCUGUGCUGGCUGCAGUGGGUGAUGAAUGCACGCAAUCAGGCGAGCAGCUUGCAAACAUUUCUGUCAGAUAGAGAACCCUGUCAUCUCAUUCCCAAUUUUAUUUCGUUCUCUUUCACCUCGUAUUUCAGUUAAUGGGAGCUGUCAAGGAGACACUUUGGUCCUUUCCCCUCCUCCUACAGCAGCUUAUGCAGUCUGACAGCCUGAGAGAUUUUUUUUUCCUGAAGACCUGCAUAAAAUAAAUUGUUAAACUUUCCCCGGGGAUUUAUAUAUCUGUGUGUACUUCUGUGUAUGAAGGUCUGUUUGUGCUCACCUAACAUCACAUGUGUGCAUGUGUGCAUGCGUGCAUGCGUGCUUGUGUGUGUGCGUGUCUAGAGAGCAUGUGUAUGAUGAGGCUGAAGCAACCUUAAUGCAAAGCUGGAUGUAUAGGUGUGUGACUCUAUGGUUUAGUAUCCUGUGUGACCAAAGCCCCAGUAGUACCCCUAUAACAUGGGUAUUGCAAGAUGGACCCUUCAUCCUACCAUAGUUGUCAUGAGCUUCAUGAUACAAGAAACAUAAAUACCCCUUAUGAGCCACACAUACCAUUGGUGGAUACAUCUAGUGUCAGCAUCUAUCUGCGUGCCGCCAUUGUUGAUACCUUAGCUCCCUAAGGCUUGGUGUGUUCAGAACUACUCUCCUGACUCCUGACUCCUGAGCUCAGGCUCCCUGACUGCUGUCCCUGCCCCUGCUCACAAGCUGCCAAGCAUUACCAGAGAGCCGGCAAACACUUAAAUCCCCAGGCUUACUUGCCCAUGCAUUCAACAAACAUUUAUUGAGUAUUUACCGUGGGUGAAACUCUGUGCUGACCUCAGGGGACUCCGAGUUUAAUAAAACAGAUGCCAUGCACACAGAAAGCUUUCGGACAAACUUUGAGUAUAAUAUACGGGGUAUUACAGUAGAUCCAGCCCCAGGCAUCAUGGCAACUGACCCUCUGGACUUGCAAACCAACCGCUCCUCAUCUUCUCUUCCAAUAUUUUGCCACAUUCUUCAAGUUGCUCACACUUUCAGAGUCACCUUCUUUGACACUUGACCCCGUGGCCUCUGGGCUAAUGUCACUUACUGCUCACCCUCAUGACACCAGGUGUAUGACAAGGUCUCAAUUGCCCUGGCUUUACCGGCCCUCCAUGAAUAACUUUUUCAUACUCCUCCCACAUGCCAUCCGACCAAAGCUGUGCAUCAGUCUUGAACAGACACACUUCCUUCCCACUUCCCCAUCUUUACUCGCUGGCCUUCUUUGUUCCUGGAAAGUCUUACCUGACUCUACACCACAUCCCAUUGCUUGAUACGGAGUCAUACAUGCACUUGGAGUCCUAGCUAAGAUGCUGCUACCUCAGAAUGCCCUCUAGAAUCCUAUAUCCCACACAGGAAAAAAAAUGUUAUCUUCUCUGUUGGAACAGGUAACAACAAAACUCAUUCAUAGAUAAAUGGGACUCCUUUCAUGCCACAACAAUUAUAUUUGCUAUUAGAAUUGAUGAAAGGUUGGAUGUAGAAGACUGAGGUUCUCAUAAAAAAUCAUUGUCCAUAUAAGAUACAGUCUGCCAACAUCCUGUCAUGGGACAGGGCAGGACCUCAGAGAGCCCUACCUUCCUCCUGAGGAUUUAGACACUGUUAGUGGUUGAGAGGGAAGGAGUGGGUAUUUUCUUUGGUUGAGGUUCAUGUGCUCCAUAAAUAAUCCAGUGAAACUCUCUGGGUCACACACACAAGAACAUGAAAGUAGGAAGAGAUUAGCAACAUGGGAGGGGAACAAGAAUGGGCAAUAGGGGCGAUGUGAUGAAGUGCAUUGUAUACAUGUAUCAUAGUAAAACCAAUUAUUAUGUAUAAUUUACAUACACCAAUAAGACAUUUUUUAAACUGCACAUGUCCUUGUAGACUUAAUGCAUGGCAGAAUAAGAUUAUAUCCACUUCCUCCAAAAAAUUUCAACUAAAAUGACUGAAAAGUAUUAAUAAAAUCGAAGCCCAUGGCGGCAGAGAAGGCUCAGUGUGCAGUGUUAGCUGUGCAAGCAUGAGGACCUGACUUUGGGUUCCUGGGACAGUGAGCAGCUCUAUCCCAGCACUUCCCAGUGAGACAGGAGUCUGAGACAAGGGAAUCUUCGGAAGUCCAUGAGCCAGCUAGGGUGGCUGGCACACAUAGUUACAAACAAGAGAUGCUGACUCUAAUAAGGUGGAAGGCAAGGUCCAGCACUCAAGGCUAUCUGCUAAUUUCCACAUACAUGCUAUAACAUGCAUAUGCUGACACUCAUGCACAUACACAUGCAAG